GUUCUGCUAUGGCUCGCUUCGACUUUGAAAAUCCAAUCUUUCAAGCUGAAGAAGAGGAUGAUGAAGAUUGUGAACUCCCUGAAGAACUUGCCAGGUUGUUGAAACAAGAGGAAAGGGUUAUUCAACCGCAUCAAGAGUUUGUUGAAGUGAUUAAUCUCGGCACCGAAGACGCCAAGAGAGAAGUCAAAAUAGGGGCUGCUUUGGAAGAUAAUGUGAAGAAAGGGCUGAUUAAAUUGCUGCAAGAAUACAUUGACAUCUUCGCCUGGUCUUAUCAGGACAUGCCUGGGCUGGACACAGACAUCGUGGUACACCGCUUGCCUCUCAAAGAAGGUUGUCCUCCGGUCAAGCAGAAGCUCAGAAGAACAAGACCAGAGAUGGCUGUCAAGAUAAAGGAAGAAGUGCAAAAGCAGUUGGAUGCAGGGUUUCUAGCAGUCACCAAUUAUCCGCCAUGGGUUGCAAACAUCGUCCCAGUACCUAAGAAGGAUGGAAAGGUACGGAUGUGUGUCGACUAUCGGGAUCUGAACAGAGCUAGCCCUAAAGAUGAUUUCCCAUUACCUCACAUCGACGUUUUGGUGGAUAAUACAGCUCAGUUCUCGGUAUUCUCCUUCAUGGAUGGCUUUUCUGGCUAUAACCAAAUCAAGAUGGCACCAGAAGACAUGGAAAAGACAACUUUCAUAACCCCGUGGGGCACCUUCUGCUACAAGGUGAUGCCGUUUGGUCUGAAAAAUGCCGGAGCAACAUAUCAACGAGCUAUGGUAACUCUGUUCCAUGAUAUGAUUCAUCAUGAAAUCGAGGUUUAUGUGGAUGAUAUGAUUGCCAAAUCUCAGACAGAAGAAGAACAUUUGGUGAAUUUGCAGAAAUUGUUUGAGCGUUUGAGGAAAUUCAAGCUGAGGCUUAAUCCGAACAAGUGUACUUUCGGGGUGAGAUCGGGAAAAUUGCUGGGUUUUAUUGUUAGCGGAAAAGGGAUUGAGGUGGAUCCUGACAAAGUGAAAGCAAUACAGGAAAUGCCUGAGCCAAGAACAGAGAAGCAAGUUCGUAGUUUCUUAGGGAGGUUGAACUACAUUGCAAGGUUCAUCUCUCACCUAACAACCACGUGUGAGCCAAUUUUCAAAUUGCUGAGGAAAGAUCAGGCUAUCAGGUGGAAUGAAGAUUGUCAAAGGGCUUUCGAGAAGAUAAAAGAGUAUCUACAGAAACCUCCGAUCCUUAUACCUCCAGUUCCUGGGAGACCUCUGAUAAUGUACCUAUCAGUGACUGAGAACUCGAUGGGGUGUGUAUUGGGACAGCAUGACGAGUCUGGUCGAAAAGAGCAUGCCAUAUACUACCUUAGCAAAAAGUUUACCGACUGUGAAAUCAAAUAUUCGCAGCUUGAGAAAACUUGCUGUGCUUUGGCCUGGGCUGCUCGCCGACUGAGGCAGUAUAUGUUGAACCAUACUACCUUGUUGAUUUCUAAGAUGGAUCCAGUGAAAUACAUAUUCGAGAAGCCAGCUCUCACCGGAAGGGUCGCUCGUUGGCAAAUGAUUUUAACAGAGUAUGAUAUUCAAUACACGUCGCAAAAGGCCAUCAAAGGUAGUAUUCUGUCAGACUACCUUGCCGAGCAGCCGAUUGAUGAUUAUGAGCCGAUGAAGUUUGAAUUCCCUGAUGAAGACAUCAUGUUCCUCAAGAUGAAAGACUGUGAAGAGCCAGUUGUUGGGGAGGGACCUGAUCCGAACAAAAAGUGGACUUUGUUGUUUGAUGGGGCUGUCAAUGCUAGAGGAAGUGGAGUUGGUGCUGUCAUUACAACUCCGAAAGGUGCCCACAUACCUUUCACCGCUCGUUUGACUUUCGAGUGCACAAAUAAUGAAGCUGAGUACGAAGCCUGUAUCUUGGGCAUUGAGCAAGCCAUUGAUCUGAGAAUCAAGACUCUGGACAUCUUCGGAGAUUCAGCUCUGGUGAUUAAUCAAGUGAAUGGUGAUUGGAAUACUCUCCAGCCCACUCUGGUCCCCUACAGAGAUUACACGAGAAGACUGUUGACUUUCUUCACAACGGUAAAAUUGUAUCAUAUACCUCGUGAUGAGAACCAGAUGGCAGACGCACUUGCUACUCUAUCCUCCAUGAUCAAGGUAAUUCGUUGGAACCAUGCUCCCAGGAUCGAUGUGAUGCGCCUUGACAGGGCCGCGUAUGUGUUUGCUGCUGAACUGGUAGUCGAUGACAAGCCCUGGUAUCACGAUAUCAAGUGCUUUCUGAAGAAUCAAGAGUACCCUGCAGGGGCAUCCAACAAUGACAGAAAGACUUUGAGAAGAUUGGCAGGUAGUUUCUUCUUGAACAAAGACGAUGUGUUGUAUAAGAGGAACUUCGACAUGGUUUUGCUCAGAUGUGUGGACAGACACGAGGCGGACAUGUUAAUGCAGGAAGUUCAUGAAGGUUCCUUCGGUACUCAUGCCGGUGGACAUGCAAUGGCUAAGAAAUUGUUGAGAGCGGGUUAUUAUUGGAUGACCAUGGAAUCAGAUUGUUUCAAGUAUGCUCGGAAGUGUCGUAAAUGCCAGAUUUAUGCUGAUAAGGUGCAUGUACCGCCGAAUCCUCUGAAUGUGAUGUCUUCGCCGUGGCCGUUUGCCAUGUGGGGUAUUGACAUGAUUGGAAAGAUUGAGCCGACUGCUUCCAAUGGGCAUCGCUUCAUCCUUGUUGCCAUCGACUAUUUCACCAAAUGGGUCGAAGCAGCGUCAUUUGCGAAUGUCACCAGACAUGUGGUUGCCCGUUUCAUCAAGAAAGAAAUUAUUUGUCGCUAUGGGAUUCCCGAAAGAAUCAUUACUGAUAAUGGUUCUAAUCUCAACAACAAAAUGAUGAAGGAGUUGUGUCAGAACUUCAACAUUCAGCAUCACAAUUCUUCCCCUUACCGCCCUAAGAUGAACGGCGCUGUUGAGGCGGCAAAUAAGAACAUAAAGAAGAUUGUGCAGAAGAUGGUCGUUACGUACAGAGAUUGGCAUGAGAUGCUACCCUUCGCCUUGCAUGGGUACCGCACUUCAGUACGUACAUCGACAGGGGCAACCCCUUACUCCCUUGUGUAUGGUAUGGAAGCGGUCCUACCUGUUGAAGUGGAGAUUCCUUCUCUAAGAGUCCUGUUGGAUGUCAAGUUAGAUGAAGCUGAAUGGAUUCGGACAAGGUUCAAUGAGUUGAGUCUUAUCGAAGAGAAGCGAAUGGCAGCCAUUUGUCAUGGGCAGUUGUAUCAGAGUCGGAUGAAGAGAGCUUUUGAUCAGAAGGUGCGUCCUCGUUGUUUCCAAGUCGGAGAUUUAGUGUUGAAAAGGAUCCUUCCUCCUCAGACAGAUCACAGGGGCAAGUGGACUCCUAACUACGAUGGACCGUAUAUUGUCACCAAGGUUUUUGAUGGUGGGGCCCUAAUGCUUGCAACUAUGGAGGGCGAAGACUUCGCUUCCCCUGUGAACUCAGACGCAGUUAAAAAAUACUUCGCAUAAAAUAGACCCGCUGGACAGUAAAAAGAAUAGUCCAGGCAAAAAUGGGCAUCCCGGCGAACCAAGAAAAUGGAAAGGUUCGGGCAAAAAUUAGGGAUCAAAAAAUAAAAAAAAGAUUGUACACCCGGUAAGUUGAAAACCUGAAAAGGCAACUUAGGCAAAAAUGGGUAUCCCGGUGGAUCGAAAACCCGAAAAGGGCGAUCCAGGCAAAAGUUAGGGAUUAAGCGAAUGACUGCGUUCUGAGUAGCUCUGAAUCUCAUCUCGUGCCAAUGACUGGAAAUUUUUGAAGGAUAGGAAACAAUCCAAUCACUCUUUCAGAAAGCUGAUCAUCUGGAGGAUCUUGAAGACGGGCAAGUCAUAGCCGAAUUGGAACCCAAUAGAAAUCCACUUCACAUUGCCAUUAGAUUAAUUUUUGUUUUAUCUAUUGUGCGAUUACCUCUUUCCAGGGAUUGCCUCUUAAUGUAAAUGCCUAUUCAGAGGCCAUUCAAUCAAUAAAAUCAUGUUAUUCAGUAUAUCUCUGUUUUCAUUUUCAUUUUACUGUUUUGUUUGCAAAAAUGACGUCCGAAUUUUUGAUAAACAUUGCAUCAUGACACAUAAGGGCUUUACAGGUACAUGCUCAAUAAACAUUUAAAAUUGCUGUAAAUUUUAAGUGCUUUGGAUCGUCUAUUCAGAACAGAUACCCUCGGGGCAUUUCCUUAAAAUCCCCUUGCAGAUGAUCGUGAAUAUCUUCCCCAGUGAAGUCGCCAACAGACAAAUUCGGUGUCUUAUCCCUGCAGAGCUGAUCAGAGCGUUGGAUUCUUCAAUCCCCAGCAGUUUCUCACCACCGUACUUCCCCAAGCGGUUGUUUCAGGACAUACACUCCCCAGUAGAGUUGACAGUGCCAGACUAUAUAUCCCCAGCGGAGUUGACAGCGCCAGACUGUAUCUUUCCAGCAGAAGUGGCUGCUCCUUAGAGUUCGAUGCCAGAUCGAUAGUCCCAAUGCCAGAUCCAUGGGUUCUUUUCUUGAACCAGAACCUCGGUACCGUAUCAGUGUUUGCUCCCCCUGCUGAGUCAUCUCUCGCAAAUCGUGGUUGCCAGAACCAUUGUAGCUUUCCUCAGCAGCAGGCUUCCAAUGCCAUUCCUUCCCCGAUCAGAGUCUCGGUAUGGCCAGAACACCGCAUGGCUAGUCGUCUCCCCACAGAAUUCUUUGCGCUGGGCAUCUCCAACAGCCUUGCCAGGGUCCAGGAGAUGGUGAUCAUUUCCCCAGCAGAUCCCCUUGCCUCGGCUUGGCAUUCUACCCAGCAUUUCGCAUCCCUGCAUGUAGAAUCAUAUUGCAUUGCAUCCUUCCAAAUCGCGUAGCAUUUCCAUUUUCAUGGAGCAUUACGCCAUUGAAAAAUUCAAACAUAUGCAUGUAAACAUAAAACAUUCUCGGUAUCCCAAGUGAUAAGCUAGAAGUUGUUUCCAGUACUCAGACUGAAGAUUGUUCAUGACUUACCUUUGUUAUCCCCAGCAAGUGUCAUUGGCCCAUGCGCCGCCUCUAUUAUCAUUCCCUAUUUCUGCCAAUGCUGACAGGCAUGAAGUUUUCCGGUAUCCAGACCGAAGUGGCGUUCAGGCCAAUUUCCGGUAUCCAGACCGAAGUGGCGUUCAGGCCAAUUUUCCGAUAUUCAGAUCGAAGUGGCAUUCAGGCCAGUGUUCCGAUAUUCAGAUCGAAGUGGCAUUCAGGCCAGUUUUCCCGGUAUCCAGACCGAAGUGGCAUUCAGGCCAGUUUCCCGGUAUCCAGACCGAAGUGGCAUUCAGGCCAGUUUUCCGGUAUUCAGAUCGAAGUGGCAUUCAGGCCAGUUUUCCGAUGAUCAGAUCGAAGAAGUUUCCGACGUUCAGGUCGAUGCAACUUGUGGCAUUCAGGCCAGUCUUCCGGUAUCCAGACCGAAGUGGCAUUCAGGCCAGUUUUCCGGUAUCCAGACCGAAGUGGCAUUCAGGCCAGUUUUCCGGUAUCCAGACCGAAGUGGCAUUCAGGUCAGUCUUCCGGUAUCCAGACCGAAGUGGCAUUCAGGCCAGUUUUCCGGUAUCCAGACCGAAGUGGCAUUCAGGCCAGUUUUCCGGUAUCCAGACCGAAGUGGCGUUCAGGCCAAUUUCCGGUAUCCAGACCGAAGUGGCAUUCAGGCCAGUUUUCCGGUAUCCAGACCGAAGUGGCAUCCCGGCCAGUGUUCCGAUGUUCAGAUCGAAGUCCUUUCCAGUAUUCAGACUGAUGAGCGGCAUUCCGGCCAUGGUUAUUUCUGUGUUACCAUUUAUUUUGGUAUGCAAGUUAACAUUCUUUAUUCAGACUGACUCUCACCGUACCAGACGGAUUCUUCUUUCAAGACCACCUCUUUGCCGAUUCUGACAGACAUUGUUACUUCAUUUCACUUCAGUGCAAAUUUUUGGGCUUUUAUUGUAUUCAAUCCCUUGAUACCUCGAAAGCACGAAAGCAGCUGUCAUCUUCCUUCCGGGUCUCCAGUUGAUUGAAUAGGGGCAGCUGUAAUACCCCAAAAUUUACCCUUUCAUUUUUUCCAAAAAAAAAAAAAAUUAAAUAAAUAAUUAAAAUAUAACAAAUUUUGGGUCUCCCUCAUUCCAAGCCCACAAGUCCACGAAAAUCAGCUAUAAAUAUAAGAGUUUCAGUAGGGUUUCAGACACUUGGAAAUUCCCUGAGAAAUAGACUUGGAGUUCACGUGGAGUUUCAAACCUAGGAACUACUCUGCAGCAACCUUCGGGCAGCCCUGAGAAGUUCAUUCCGCCUCACGCAAACCCUAAACGUUGCUUCGCCAAUCCGGCCUUGUCUUCCAAUUUUAACAGGUUUCUCAUCAGGUAUGCCUCUGUUCCUAUUACUCUAUGCCUCGGAUUGAAUACUGAAUAUAUGAGGUAACCUCAGGUUUGGCCCACAGGGUUAUAUUUGUGUAUGAAUAUGUGAUUUAUGCCUUGACUGUUUAACAAUUUCGUUUAUAAGGUGAAUGCCAUAGGAUCUGGAAUCUUUAACAUCGUGCAGGUACCAAUGGGAAAUCCAAAUCCCGCAGGUGCUCGCUAGCCGCUUCGCUAGGCGAGCACGCAGCGAAGCUUCGCUAGGCUUUCGCUAGGCGAAGCAGUCGCGAAUGUGACAGUAUCUGCUCUUAUUCCGUUUUGUUCUAACCUGUUCUUUGUGUUGCCAUGGCCUUGUUAUCUUUUGAUUUCAUCCUGUUUGCCUAACCCCUUUUGUUGAGUUUUUGUGAGGGCUCACAUAUUCUCGCAGGGAUACCCUCCGGAGGUUUAUUCCGAUUUCCCGUACUGAUUGGUUUUCUUUGAUGGCAUCAGCUUGGGAGAAUCUCAGGGUCGCUUAUCCUUUAAUUGCUGUAACUUCGGAUCUUGAUCCGUGUGAUUCAGAGCUCACAACUGAUAUGAAGAUUUGGCUUCAUUGGUGCUCUAAAUGGAUUCAAUGAUGAUAGUUGGCCUACAAGAUUCACUGGCAACUUAGUAGGCACGUCUCAUGGUUGUACAAUUGAAUUCGAAGAGUGAUGUUCCUGAACAUAUUAGGCUUGAAGGCCGCUAUCUUACUCAAGAAGAUGCUUUUGUUUAUUGGGACAUUCAUCUUUUACAGUGGAACUGACGAGAAGGAUGUUGGGUCUUGUUCAAAGCUCAUUUUUGCUCCAAUUGAUGAAAUGUUCCCAUACUAUGCCCCAUUGCUACCUUUUGGUUUCCUUAUCAUUCUGUUGGACUCGAAACCACUUGACAAUGGAUAGUAGACCUUCUCUUUGCUCUUUGUUUCUCCUUCUUGGUCUUAUUUUACUUUUGGUGCAAUGUUACUCAUCUUCUGAAGAUAAUAUGAAGACUUACAUUGUCUACACUGGAAAGAUCAUAAACGAUGAAGCGUCUUCACUGAUCAUUUACCAAAAUAUGUUAAAUCAAGUUGCCGAGAGGUUACAUUAUUUCAUCGAAAUUUUAAUUACUUAUUACAAGAAAAUAAUCAUAAGGGAAGGCCAAAAGCCUUUGAUAAUGUCAAAAAGACUUUGAUAAUGAAACGUUUUUGAUGAA